rnacentral:rRNA from 1 species
UAAACUGUGGUUAAGGAACUCGGCAAAUUGCCCCCGUAACUUCGGGAGAAGGGGGGCCAUGCCCGGUGAUCCACCUUGCGUGGUGAGCGGGGUGUGGCCGCAGAUACCAGGGGGAAGCGACUGUUUACUAAAAACACAGGUCCGUGCGAAGUCGUAAGACGCUGUAUACGGACUGACGCCUGCCCGGUGCCGGAACGUUAAGAGGACCGGUCAACCCUCACGGGUGAAGCUGAGAAUCUAAGCGCCGGUAAACGGCGGUGGUAACUAUAACCAUCCUAAGGUAGCGAAAUUCCUUGUCGGGUAAGUUCCGACCUGCACGAAUGGCGUAACGACUUCCCCACUGUCUCAACCACAGACCCGGCGAAAUUGCAGUACGAGUAAAGAUGCUCGUUUCGCGCAGCAGGACGGAAAGACCCCGGGACCUUCACUACAGCUUGGCAUUGGCGUUUGGAGCGUCUUGUGUAGGAUAGGUGGGAGACUGUGAAGCUCACACGCCAGUGUGGGUAGUCAUUGGUGAAAUACCACUCUGGUCGUUUCGAGCGUCUAACCCGCACCCGUGAAUCCGGGUGGGGGACAGUGCCUGGUGGGUAGUUUAACUGGGGCGGUUGCCUCCUAAAAGGUAACGGAGGCGCCCAGAGGUUCCCUCAGCCUGGUUGGUAAUCAGGUGGCGAGUGCAAGGGCACAAGGGAGCUUGACUGUGAGACGGACAUGUCGAGCAGGUGCGAAAGCAGGGCCUAGUGAUCCGGCGGUGGCAUGUGGAAGCGCCGUCGCUCAACGGCUAAAAGGUACCCCGGGGAUAACAGGCUGAUCUUCCCCAAGAGUCCAUAUCGACGGGAUGGUUUGGCACCUCGAUGUCGGCUCGUCGCAUCCUGGGGCUGGAGUAGGUCCCAAGGGUUGGGCUGUUCGCCCAUUAAAGCGGCACGCGAGCUGGGUUUAGAACGUCGCGAGACAGUUCGGUCCCUAUCCGCUGCGCGCGCAGGAGAUUUGAGAGGGUCUGUCCCUAGUACGAGAGGACCGGGACGGACGAACCUCUGGUGUGCCGGUUGUCAUGCCAAUGGCACGGCUGGUUGGCUACGUUCGGACGGGAUAACCGCUGAAAGCAUCUAAGCGGGAAGCCUUCCUCGAGAUGAGAUCUCCCACCCCCAUGAGGGGUGUAAGGCCCCCAGCUAGACCACUGGGUUGAUAGGCCAGAAAUGGAAGCACCGUAAGGUGUGGAGUUGACUGGUACUAAUAGGCCGAGCGGCUUGAACA